rnacentral:lncRNA from 1 species
GCCCUCUUUCCCAUCUCUGCAUCUCUCCUCUUAAAGAUCUGCUGGAAGAAGGAUUCUGGGUCAGGAAGGCAGUAGCGUAUUUAGACUCGCCAGACUGGAGAGCCAAGCAGCAAGGCGACUCUGGAGGACUACACGACUUUGAGCAACCUUUUCAUUUCAUCUAGAAUUCAUGGACCAUAAGGGCUCCCGAAGAAAAGUCAGAAGCAACAUGGCUUAGUAUAUGGCAGAGAUCAAACCAUGGCCGAGGACUAGCUUGGGACUGCCUGUGCUUCUCAUUCCUGUCUGAGGAAAGGUGGGGAGGGUCCAGAAGUGCACAGAGAGAAGGUGUUCGAUAUUGUAUAAUGUUUGACCUGCAGCCAUCUGUUCACUCAACUUAUGCAUUUACU